rnacentral:tRNA from 1 species
GUUUAUAAAGUUUUAUUUAAACAUUUCAUUUUCAUUGAAAAAAUAGAUAUAUUUUAUCUUAUAAAUA